AUUGCACAGACAACCAGGAUGUUGGCUUAGAAGCAGCCACUCAUUUAAAGAGUGCGUAAUAGCUCACUGGUCGAGUGAUCCUGCGCCGAAAAUUUCCGGGGCUAAAACGUACUACCGAAGCUACGGCAUCAUUUAUGAUGGGUAGGGGAGCUUCGUAUGCAGGCUGAAGCAUGACCGUAAGGACAUGUGGACAGUAUACGAGUGAGAAUGUUGGCAUGAGUAGCGAGAUGUGGGUGAGAAUCCCACAGGCCGUAAACCCAAGGUUUCCAGGGGAAGGUUCGUCCGCCCUGGGUUAGUCAGGACCUAAGCCGAGGCCGAAAGGCGUAGGUGAUGGACAACAGGUUGAUAUUCCUGUACCGCCAAUAAGCGUUUGAGAGAUGGAGUGACACAGUAGGAUAAGCUAACCGUACUGUUGGUUAUGUACGGCUAAGCAUUGAGGCAGUCUAAAUAGGCAAAUCCGUUUAGACAAUGCUAGGAUGUGAUGGGGAAGCCCUUCGGGGCGAAGUAGCUGAUUUCACACUGUCAAGAAAAGCUUCUAUCGAGUUUAAAGGCGCCCGUACCGUAAACCGACACAGGUGGGUGAGGAGAGUAUCCUAAGGCCAGCGAGAGAACUAUUGUUAAGGAACUCGGCAAAAUGACCCCGUAACUUAGGGAGAAGGGGUGCCUGUCUAUGACAGGCCGCAGAGAAUAGGCCCAAGCGACUGUUUACCAAAAACACAGGUUUCUGCUAAGUCGCAAGACGAUGUAUAGGAGCUGACGCCUGCCCGGUGCUGGAAGGUUAAGGGGAUCUGUUAGAGCAAUCGAAGCAGUGAACUUAAGCCCCAGUAAACGGCGGCCGUAACUAUAACGGUCCUAAGGUAGCGAAAUUCCUUGUCGGGUAAGUUCCGACCCGCACGAAAGGCGUAACGAUUUGGGCACUGUCUCAACAAUAGACUCGGUGAAAUUGUAAUCCCGGUGAAGAUGCCGGGUACCUGCGACAGGACGGAAAGACCCCAUGGAGCUUUACUGUAGCUUGACGUUGGGUCUUGGUACUACAUGUACAGGAUAGGUGGGAGACUAUGAAGCAUGGACGCCAGUCUGUGUGGAGUCAUCCUUGGGAUACCACCCUUGUAGUACUGGGAUCCUAACCAUAGGCCUUGAAUCAGGUCUUGGAACACCGUCAGGUGGGCAGUUUGACUGGGGCGGUCGCCUCCUAAAAAGUAACGGAGGCGCUCAAAGGUUUCCUCAGCACGGUCGGAAAUCGUGCGAAGAGUGUAAAGGCAAAAGGAAGCUUGAUUGCAAGACAUACAGGUCGAGCAAGGACGAAAGUCGGACUUAGUGAUCCGGUGGUACCGCAUGGAAGGGCCAUCGCUCAACGGAUAAAAGCUACCCUGGGGAUAACAGGCUUAUCUCCCCCAAGAGUCCACAUCGACGGGGAGGUUUGGCACCUCGAUGUCGGCUCAUCACAUCCUGGGGCUGUAGUAGGUCCCAAGGGUUGGGCUGUUCGCCCAUUAAAGUGGUACGCGAGCUGGGUUCAGAACGUCGUGAGACAGUUCGGUCCCUAUCCGUCGCAGGCGUAGGAAAUUUGAGAAGACCUGUCCUUAGUACGAGAGGACCGGGAUGGACGUACCUCUGGUGUACCAGUUGUUCUGCCAAGGGCAUGGCUGGGUAGCUAUGUACGGAAUGGAUAAGCGCUGAAAGCAUCUAAGCGCGAAGCCAACUUCAAGAUAAGAUUUCCCACCGUAAGGGUAAGACCCCAGGAAGACUACCUGGUUGAUAGGUCGAAGGUGUAAGUGCAGUAAUGUAUUUAGCUUAUCGAUACUAAUAGGUCGAGGACUUGACCAA
rnacentral:rRNA from 1 species